UGGCAGCAGGGACACAGAAAAGUGCUAGUUUAGUUUUGUCACUAAAAGAACAGUCUUUGGAAAAGGAAUCACUGGUGGACAGUUGAAGUUGGGUGCAAAUUUACUGAAGAAGCUGAAGGAGAUUUAUUUCUCUCCCUGUGAGCACUGUUAAGAGAACACAGUACAAGAGAUACCAUUGCUCACAGCCACAUUCCCUCAUCAGGACUGCAGCCUAGGGUCCAAAGGCGAUGCUUAACACAGGCAAGAAUGAAUAUUCUUACAACAUAUCGUAAGCAAAUAG